UUGGCCCCGCCCAUCGAGUCACGCCGUGCUUUAGAGACAGGCGAAACAGCCACUAUGUAGUUGGUGGCAUUUAUUCAUAUUCAAGUUCAGCUGUGGUCUUGGGCGACUGUCUCUUAAAGCUUGGUUCAUACUCUAGUCCAUGUGCGCUUUUGGUCAGCGGAUGGCAGAGCAUUUGGUAUCUUAUAUUAAUACUACAUUUGCCCGUGGCCCCAGAAGGUCAUGGUCAGUGCAUGCAUACAGCAGUGGCAUUCCACCAGACCUGGAGAGGGCAUAUGUAUUGCAAAAAUACAAGCAGUGUAAUGAAAUGGGUAAACUUAUGAAGUUUUAAAGUAGUAUGGCACACUGUGGUAUUUUGACAUCUUUGACACAAUUAACCCCCUCCACCCAGUGUGACAAAUUUUAUCAGCAUGAUUAUAAAAUGUUGUGUUUUUUGAAAAUACCGUAUACCGUGAUAUAAUGUCUGGACAGUAUUAAAAAUUAGAAAUGCAGAUACCUCUGUACCCCCCCUGCAGCUUUUCAUCUACUCUUUGUUAACCUCAGCUCUGUCAAAGUCAGUGUUGCCACCUAUUGGAAAAACUAGUAAAUUUCCUGGCAAAUUUGCAGUCGGCGCACACUGGCGUGUAUGAUUUUCACCAGACAUAAAAAUUUGACUGCACACAUGCCAUCUGGCACAGAACCUUGAUUACAUUUACAUCACGUACGCUGUGCGUAGACCAGAAGUGCGGAUGGAAAAGUGAAAUAUCAAUUGUCCACAAGUCCCAAGCUCAUUAAAAUCCAGUCUCUCACAUUGUCUAACGAAUGGUCUGCUGUCAUGGACAGUGAAACUUGUAGCUGCACUGAUUCUGAUUAGCAUUACUAUAAAGAACAUAACCAUACUUUGCCAGCACCUAUAAUUAAAAUGUGAAGGGCUGACAUCUUCUGGUUUUGCUGCUGGCUUCUGUGGACAUCGCUAAAUGAUCAGCAUUGUAAUUUGCCUUCCUAUAUCAUGUUCUGAAUCUUUAAAUUUUCUUAAAUGGCCCAGUGGUUAACAUACGCUGUCAGAGAAGCAGCCUGCAAAAAUGUUUUUUAGGCCACAUUUUCGAAACCUUGAUGGUCUUUGUGGCUGCUGUAAAGUAUAUCUUAACAUGUCUUAAAGCACUGUUCAUUACUUUCAAUGGUCAAGACACAUCAGCUGUAAUAUACAUCAACAAACAUUUCAAUCAUAUGUUGUGUAUUAAAGCUGUUAAUGUAUGUUAGGAUGGUAAUGAAUGCUUGUUCCUUCUGAAUACACUAUGAAUGCAUUCAGUGUUUCCCUUAGGUUUAGAGCUUUUUUUUGGGGGGGGGGGGGUGCAGAUGGACACCGACAGGAUUCAUGGUGUUCAUUUGUUUCUUUUAAUGACAGCAGUCAAUAUAACAAUUGAACUAAACAUCAGAACAUAUCCUCAAAGUGUGCAGCUUAAGUCACUGCAGUGCAUCUUUCUGGGCUUCUGGAAAAAAAUUUCUAGAGCCUCUUGAUAUGUGAAGUCAGAAAUGUCUGGCCCGUUUAUUGAGAUCCGCAUGCAGGCUGCAAGAUGAUCUCCUUGCCUAUUGCAGAUGUUUAUCUUGACCUGCGAAUGCAUUAACUGUUAGACUAAAAUAUUGUAGCUGAUAGCUUAAAAUAGUGAUAGUUUAAAGCGCAAAAAAAAAACAAACUCCGGCUGCUUCUCGCAGGAGAGCGAGUGUUGCCAUGUUCACCAACCUGGGAGCGUUUACAAAAACGCAGAUAUUUUUGCCUGCUUUUCAGGUAGUUGACACGGCAUAUUUUCCGAUGCGCGCUCUCUAUCUGCUGGUGGGAGUGUGCUCACCUGUGUGUACACGUGCAUGAGUCUGUCCGGAACUCCAUCAUGCGUGAUACAGAGAGCAAAGGAGAAUUGUAAACACACGGCCAUGCAGAGACAAAAAUUAUAAGCUGAUGUUUAAAUAAGAUAAAUAAGGCUAUUUAGUUUUACUAAAAGGACAAUGUAUAGACCUGUUCUAUAGGAAAGGUAAUCUUAAAUGGCUUAUGUUGUGAUCUGGAGCUAUAUAGAAAAUAAAAUUAAAUAAAAUUAACAGCGGGAGGUGCCGUUGGGGGGGUGGGGCACCCCCCUGAUAUAAUGGUGGUGGAAACACAGGCAUUGAAAAGGUGCACUGAAUGUUCUCUGAAGGUAUUAUAGAAGCUUCAUGAUGGUUCAGUUAAUUUAAAACAUUACUAAUUCAUAUUAAUAUUUAAUUUGUGCUUUUACUAAACGUUACUCUUAUCGCUAACAUCAGUGGUUUCGACAGAAAAUUAUUAUUCUGAAUUUAUGCUUGUAAUAGCUAUCAUUUUGUUCAUUGCCAGUCUUAAUGUACAAGUUUGUAACUGCAUACAUUUUUUGUGGUUCAUACACAUUGAAAUUAAUCUGUACAUUUGACAUGGGCACAACAAAAAUUCAUAAUUUUAUGUUCAAUACAGAAAACAAUGCUAAUUUGGGCUGUGAGUUGGUUAUGGUUAGUGCUAGAGACCUCAGACACAGUCUCAUCACUUUAAUCAGUAGUUUGGGAAUAUUUUGGUUUCCCAAUAAUUUACACCGACACUGGAGAAAAAGUAGUUUAAGUCCCAGACUCUGGCCUGUUAUACCAAACUUGGAUUUGUUACUGGAGAUGCAACAUGCUAACUCAUGAGAUGACAUCAUCUGAGUGUGCGUGCAAUGGGAGCAAGGCAGAUAUAGCCUCUGCAAGUUAGUCCCCCUGUGGCGUUUAAGGUGCUUUUGCCAGGAAAUGCAGAUCAGGCUAAAAUAGUAUGGCUGUAGGGUUGUCUACUGCCACAGAUCUGUGACCAUUAUCCGUUCCCGAGAUUUAGUUAAGAUUGGCGUUUUUUUUUUAAUUCAUUUUGCAAUUUUUUUUUUUCAUUUUUUAUAAGCAUCAUAGUAUUCAGACAUGCUGACAGCUGCAUUGCCUUUCAUUUAACUGUUCCUAAUUAUAUUUUGUUUUAUUAAUAAUUUCAAAACAAAUCUUUCUCCCUGCUGUUCUGAAAUUGCACUGAACCCUAAACACAAAAGUAAGGUUUGUACCGAACAGUGAACUCUGUUUAACCAUCAUUGGGGUUUAAUAGUAGCUGGGGCAUAUGAAAGAACAUCACUCUGUCUUGGGGAAUAGUAAUAUGGUGUGUGUAUGUAUGUACCCACAUGGCCCCUGUUUACUCUGAUUUUAAAAUGAGUCUUGAGUGAUCGGAUCACAAGUAGACGGCUGUUUACGCCAGUGUUUAUCAUGUCUUCAAGGUGUCCAGCUUACCGUUUGUGCUGAGAUUCCAUUACUGCUCUGCUCAGUUAUUGUGAUGUCCUCAUAGGGGAUGUAUCAGGAAGUAUUGGUUUUUACACUACGGAAGAUGCGUGAUGAAAUGUGCCCCAGACCAUCUCAACAAGUGGUUUGAGUGAUUGCUUCACGAUGUGUCCUGGUGGUCGUUUCGCCGUCUCAUCUAGAACUGUCCGCUUACUAUUUGAUCACCCAAGAUGCAUCUUAAAACCAAGUGUAAACAGGGCCAUGAAUGGCUGAACAGUAAUGUGGUGUACCUACUAGGAUUGUGUACUUUGGUAUUCGUAAUUGACCAUAAUUGGUGUCGGAAUCUGACUGACCAGCAGUUAUUGCCUUUAUUUGGGAUGUAGGCUUAGGCUACACACACAGCAUAAGAUUUAUGAUGUGGCUUUCAGGACAGCCUUGUAGCCUACGUUUCUGCCUUUUCUGUAAACGUAUAUUUCUUUAAUCCUUCAGACUUCCAGCAGUCUUAAAGUUUGUGUUAAGUUUUAUUUCAGGCUGUUUUAGAUCACAAAUUUGUCUUGCCGAUCUUUCUUUCCUCUUCCCUGCAGAAACUUAAAAAAUAGUCCCUCCACUCUGGUCAGCAAGAUUUAAUGCCAGCGGAUUGGAUUAUCUGUAUAUUGUUUUUUUUUCUCUCCUGUCUUUACACUUUUGACAAAAUUUAUAGUGCAUGCCUGUAUGUGUGUUGGUUGGGGGGUGUUGAAUUAUCAUCAGUCAUCUGUUUAUAUAUCUCAUUAUUUUUGACGUCGCCCCACCCUAGCAUAUCAGCUGUAAUGUAGUGUAUGUACUCUCAGGCAGUCGUUUUAACAUUUUUGAGGGGUUCACACUGUGAAUGCAACCUCACUCUUAGCCUCUGUCAUCCGCUCCUAGUCUCCCUUUUUGUCCUUUUCAUUUUUCUUGUCACAAGUGCUUUUGCUGAUGCCCUGUGUCUUUGCAGUCAAAUUAAGUGGGCCAAACGAUGAUAAACCUUUAAAGCUCCCCAUUAGAUUUUAAUGUGAGGACAAGCAAUUUCCACGUGUUGAUAGUAGUGUUUCAGUGGACUUUUAUUCAUUAAUUGCCUUUAACUGGACAGAACAUUUUUGAUUUUAUCUGGCGAAAUCAGAUGCUGUCCCAGUCGGGGGGUAACAUUGUACAAGUCUGUUUGGUACACACCUCCUGUUUUGGGCUCAAGGUUUGGUGCAAUUGUAAUAGAGCAGGAAAACAAUGAAUGAUGUUUUGAAAUUAUUACAACAUGCUAAAGCCAUUAAGAACAUUUGUAAACCAAAUGUUUGUCGACAUCUGAAUAAAAAACCUAAGAUGCUCACUUGCACCCUAAAAAUUGAGAAAGCAUCUUAUAGCACCAUGUAUGUUUGCAUAUUUGCAUAUACACCCGUAAUCCUGGCAAAAGUUAUGGUGCUUUUCCACUGGCAUACAGGAACAGUUUCGUACCCGAGAUGCACUGCUGGUAUUCAGUAACUGCACUGCAAAGAGACACUAGUUGGAGCAUGGUUCCAACUCUUUGAUUUUCCACUUAAGAAGGGUUGGCUUUGCCCGGGUUUUGUGUUGCGUGGGUUCGAAGAGUGACAGUGAAGUGAAACAAGAGAUGCUUAUUUACAGUCCACAUGUUCACACAGUGUACAUCAUGAUUUACUAUCUGCUAAUUUCCACUAGCAAGUCUGAGAAUUGCUGUCUUGUUAGCAUCAAACUUAAGCAGAAUUCGUUACGUUGACCUGCCAUUACAAAUUCAUUGUGUUCGGCUGUUCUAAAUAGGUGAUUUGGAGUUUUCAAGUUCCGAGUUAUUAGUAAUGCAUCAAAAAAUCUCAAUGUGUGAUGAUACUAACAAAUAUGCUAGGGUUGGGCAAUUAAUUGAAAAUGAAUCAAAUAUUCCAAACCCUUAAUCAAUGUAAUCUUGCCCUUGUCGGUUACAUCAAUUUUAAAAUUCUGUUAAUUCUUAAAAAAAAAAAAAUAAAUCUGUUAAAUACACCCUGAGGAAAGUAUUAUGUACUGUCCCCUUAAAAACAAAGUACCUUGUGUGUUGUCACAUAGCUCCGCCCUGUCUAGUCUGUAACAUGGGGAACUGAAACACAGAGCUGACUGACCGACUCGAGCAGCUUGUACCAAAGACAAAUUCUGUGUCCUUCAUUUGGACACAUUGUAGCUUUAGUGAAGACGACACCGAACAAAUAGAAGAUGUUAAUGAUGUGGAAAAAGUUUCUGCUACCAAUGGUGGUUGAUGCGACAUUUUCGACGCAUACUCUGUUCGCCGGUGGGAGUGUGCUCACCUGUGUGCGUGCACGUAUGUGCACACACAUCAGGGCGGAGCUGGACCUUGUGUGAUACAGAGAGCAGAGGAGAAUUGUAAACGCAUGACUGUAGACAAAAAUGGCAAGUGGAUGUGUAAAGAUAUAUAGCAUGAGGCUAUUUAGCUUGUUUAAUGAAAGGACAAUGUAUAGACCUUUUCCAUAGGAAAGGUAACUUUAAAUGACUUGUUGUGAUCUCGCGCUAUAUAGAAAAUGAAAUAAAAUGAACUUCAAGGGGGGGCAGGAGGUGCUGUUGGGGGGGCGGGGUGCCCCCCUAAUAUAAUGGUAGGGGAAACACUGCUGUCUUAUUGUCUUAUCGUGUGAAAAUGUGUACAUGUCAACUAGAUGGUAAUUUGCCAACCAAUUGGUUAUAAUGAUCAUCCGCUUAUAGCAAUCAAUUCAUCCAGACAGAUGUGAUCACAAAGUACUUUCCACUGUAAUUUUGUUUGCAAGAAAUGCAAACUCUGUUCUACUUUUUAAAAGAAUUUUUUGCAUUGCAAAUGUAAAUAUGGCUUUUUCAUUAGACAUUUUAAUUUCAAGCGAUUUAUGCUUUUGAGUUCAGUUGUUCAAAAUAUUCAAUGGUUCAUCAGAGUGUUUCUGUUUAAUUUAUUUUAAAAUAUCCCAGCUUCAAUAGUUAAGCAUAUUUACAGUACAAACCUUGCCAGUGAAAUGAGGACAAAAAAGUUGUUCAUUAAUCGCAAUCGAGGCAAUUGUUAUUGAUUUGAAGUGCACGGCCCAGCCCUAGAAUGUGCCCUUUUUCCUUCGGAUAAUCCAUACACGUUAUUGCAGAUCACUGCUAUCUCCCUGCAUUUCACCAAUCAGAUGAUGGGGAUGCAGCCAGCUCUCGUUGGUCACACUUUCAGCUCUGCUAAUAAACAGGGCUGUGUUCAUGUGGGUACGGCUCAGAAUUUACAAUGGAAAACCGUCAGUUCACGGCUCAGUUUUUCAUAAAA